rnacentral:Y_RNA from 1 species
AGCUGGUCCAAAGGUAGUGAGUUAUCUCACUUGGUUGUUCACAGUCAGUUACAGAUUGAACUCGUUCUACUGCUUUCCUCCUCACUACUACAUUUGUCUAGUCAAAA